GGGAGUCUAGCCUGCCCGGUGAUUGCAAAUUUAACGGCCGCGGUACCCUGACCGUGCAAAGGUAGCAUAAUCAUUUGCCUUAUAAUUGAAGGCUAGCAUGAAAGGUUUAACGAAAGCUUAACUGUCUCUUGUGGAAUAGAAUGAAAUUAACUUUUAAGCGCAAAGGCUUAUAUCCUACUAAAAGACAAGAAGACCCUAUUGAGCUUGAGAGGUUCUAGUAGAGUUAAUGUAUAAAAUAUUCUUGCAAAAUUUUAGUCUAUUAGACCAAUUUAGUUGGGGCGACUUAGGAACAAUAAAAGCUUCUUAGAUUUUUAAAUAUUUCUAAAUUGUGAUCCAAAAGGUUUUGAUUAGCAGAAUUAGUUACCAUAGGGAUAACAGCAUAAUUCUUCUUGAGAGUUCUAAUCGAAAGAAGAGAUUGUGACCUCGAUGUUGGACUAGAAUAUCCCAAAGGUGCAGAAGUCUUU
rnacentral:rRNA from 1 species